CUCGCUGUGAAGAUGCAGUGUACCCGCGGCAAGACGGAAAGACCCCGUGAACCUUUACUAUAGCUUGACACUGAACAUUGAGCCUUGAUGUGUAGGAUAGGUGGGAGGCUUUGAAGUGUGGACGCCAGUCUGCAUGGAGCCGACCUUGAAAUACCACCCUUUAAUGUUUGAUGUUCUAACGUUGGCCCGUAAUCCGGGUUGCGGACAGUGUCUGGUGGGUAGUUUGACUGGGGCGGUCUCCUCCUAAAGAGUAACGGAGGAGCACGAAGGUUGGCUAAUCCUGGUCGGACAUCAGGAGGUUAGUGCAAUGGCAUAAGCCAGCUUGACUGCGAGCGUGACGGCGCGAGCAGGUGCGAAAGCAGGUCAUAGUGAUCCGGUGGUUCUGAAUGGAAGGGCCAUCGCUCAACGGAUAAAAGGUACUCCGGGGAUAACAGGCUGAUACCGCCCAAGAGUUCAUAUCGACGGCGGUGUUUGGCACCUCGAUGUCGGCUCAUCACAUCCUGGGGCUGAAGUAGGUCCCAAGGGUAUGGCUGUUCGCCAUUUAAAGUGGUACGCGAGCUGGGUUUAGAACGUCGUGAGACAGUUCGGUCCCUAUCUGCCGUGGGCGCUGGAGAACUGAGGGGGGCUGCUCCUAGUACGAGAGGACCGGAGUGGACGCAUCACUGGUGUUCGGGUUGUCAUGCCAAUGGCACUGCCCGGUAGCUAAAUGCGGAAGAGAUAAGUGCUGAAAGCAUCUAAGCACGAAACUUGCCCCGAGAUG
rnacentral:rRNA from 1 species